rnacentral:rRNA from 1 species
UUCCGGUUGAUCCUGCCGGACGGGCACCGCUAUCGGUAUGCGAUUAAGGCAUGCGAGUCGAGAGGUGCAAGACCUCGGCUGACGGCUGAGUAACACGCGGAUAACCUGCCCUGAAGUGGAGGAUAAUCUCGGGAAACUGAGGAUAAUACUCCAUAGGUGUGGUGUGCUGGAAUGCUUCCACGCUGAAAGCUCCGGCGCUUCAGGAUGGGUCUGCGGCCUAUCAGGCUGUAGUGGGUGUAACGGACCCACUAACCUACGACGGGUAGGGGCGUUGAGAGACGGAGCCCCCAGAUGGAUUCUGAGACACGAAUCCAGGCCCUACGGGGCGCAGCAGCUACGAAAACUGCACAAUGUGGGAAACCACGAUGCGGGCAUACCGAGUGCCAACGCAUUGCGUUGGCUGUUCUCCCGCCUAAAAAGCGAGAGAAGUAAGGGCCGGGUAAGACGGAUGCCAGCCGCCGCGGUAAUACCCGCGGCCCGAGUGGUGCUCAUUAUUAUUGAGCUUAAAGCGUCCGUAGCCGGCCUCGUAAAUCUUUGGGUAAAUCGGGCAGCUCAACUGUUCGAAUUCCGAGGAGACUGCGAGGCUCGGGACCGGGAGAGGUUCGAGGUACUCCGGGGGUAGGGGUAAAAUCCUGUAAUCCUUGGGGGACCACCGGUGGCGAAGGCGUCCGACCAGAACGGGUCCGACGGCAAGGGACGAAGCCCUGGGGCGCGAACCGGAUUAGAUACCCGGGUAGUCCAGGGUGUAAACGCUGUGCGCUUGGUGUUGGGGGUCCUUUGAGGGCAUCCAGUGCCGGAGAGAAGUUGUUAAGCGCACCGCCUGGGGAGUACGGUCGCAAGACUGAAACUUAAAGGAAUUGGCGGGGGGAGCACCGCAACGGGAGGAGCGUGCGGUUUAAUUGGAGUCAACGCCGGA